UACGUAGGGAGCAAGCGUUGUCCGGAAUCAUUGGGCGUAAAGCGCUCGUAGGCGGCCUGUUGCGUCCGCUGUGAAAUCCCGGGGCUCAACCCCGGGCGUGCAGUGGAUACGGGCUGGCUGGAGGCAGGCAGGGGAGAACGGAAUUCCUGGUGUAGCGGUGAAAUGCGCAGAUAUCAGGAGGAACACCGGUGGCGAAGGCGGGUCUCUGGGCCGAUAUCGACGCUGAGGAGCGAAAGCGUGGGGAGCGAACAGG
rnacentral:rRNA from 1 species